GGCGAGAGUAGUUCAGUGGUAGAACACUAGCUUCCCAAGCUAGUUGCCGCGGGUUCGAUCCCCGUUUCUCGCUCCAA
rnacentral:tRNA from 7 species